rfam:Rhizobium freirei PRF 81 Cont720, whole genome shotgun sequence.
CCAGUUGGCCGGGCAGCCGCGCUUCAUCAAUGCCGAAAGGCGAUGGGGUGAGGAAAGUCCGGGCUCCACGGAAACACGGUGCCGGAUAACGUCCGGCGAGGGCAACCUCAGGGAAAGUGCCACAGAAAGCAAACCGCCCGGUCUUGCGACCGGGUAAGGGUGAAAGGGUGGGGUAAGAGCCCACCGCGUCUCUGGAAACAGCGACGGCACGGAAAACCCCACCGGGAGCAAAACCGAAUAGGGAUGACGCGGAGCGCGCAAGCGCUCCAGCCUGUUUCCGGGCCGGUCAUCCGGGUGGGUUGCAAGAGGCGUCGCGCAAGCGCCGUCCCAGAUGAAUGGCUGCCACGUUCCGGCCUCGGCCGGAGCCAUACAGAACCCGGCUUACAGGCCAACUGGCAAA